rnacentral:lncRNA from 1 species
AAAGAAAGGAAAACGAGUGAGAUAAUGGAAGAGAAAGAGAGACGAAACAAAGAUGAAUGGAAAGAUGGCUGGGGAGAGAGAAUUAAGAGAGAAAGAAGACAAAGGGGAUGGGAGAGAAAGAUGGAUAGAAAGAUACUGAGAGAUAGGACAGAGAGAGACGAAUGAGAAGAGAGAUAGAAGAUAGAGAGAGAUAGUGCAUUAGAGAUAGAGAGAGAGAUGAAGAAGGAAGCUGAUAUAUGAAACACUGACAGACGGACGACAUUGUACGGUGGUGGAUGUUGCGUGUGUAAUAUUAUUAUUAGCAUCAUCUCACGUUGUAAUGAUAAUAUUGUCGUAAAGUAGCCGUGUGCUGGAGUUCCAUCCUCAUCGCCAACAUAACCAGCCAGGCCAACUUAUGAAUUUGGCUUCGAUGGUCGUCACCUAAAAAAGGCAACCAAACAAACACACUCGAUUGAUAUUUACAGACCUCAUGUCACCCUCGGCCAAAUUUUGGAUCCUCGCUCCGAUCAAGG